GAUGAACGCUGGCGGCGUGCUUAACACAUGCAAGUCGAACGGAAAGGCCCAAGCUUGCUUGGGUACUCGAGUGGCGAACGGGUGAGUAACACGUGGGUGAUCUGCCCUGCACUUCGGGAUAAGCCUGGGAAACUGGGUCUAAUACCGGAUAGGACCACAUUUUGGAUGGUGUGGUGGAAAGUUUUUCGGUGUGGGAUGAGCUCGCAGCCUAUCAGCUUGUUGGUGGGGUAAUGGCCUACUAAGGCGUCGACGGGUAGCCGGCCUGAGAGGGUGUACGGCCACAUUGGGACUGAGAUACGGCCCAGACUCCUACGGGAGGCAGCAGUGGGGAAUAUUGCACAAUGGGCGCAAGCCUGAUGCAGCGACGCCGCGUGGGGGAUGACGGCCUUCGGGUUGUAAACUCCUUUCGCUAGGGACGAAGCGCAAGUGACGGUACCUGGAGAAGAAGCACCGGCUAACUACGUG
rnacentral:rRNA from 1 species